rnacentral:rRNA from 1 species
AUUGAACGCUGGCGGCAUGCCUUACACAUGCAAGUCGAACGGCAGCACGGGGGCAACCCUGGUGGCGAGUGGCGAACGGGUGAGUAAUACAUCGGAACGUGUCCUGUAGUGGGGGAUAGCCCGGCGAAAGCCGGAUUAAUACCGCAUACGCUCUACGGAGGAAGGGGGGGGAUCUUAGGACCUCCCGCUACAGGGGCGGCCGAUGGCAGAUUAGCUAGUUGGUGGGGUAAAGGCCUACCAAGGCGACGAUCUGUAGCUGGUCUGAGAGGACGACCAGCCACUGGGACUGAGACACGGCCCAGACUCCUACGGGAGGCAGCAGUGGGGAAUUUUGGACAAUGGGGGCAACCCUGAUCCAGCAAUGCCGCGUGUGUGAAGAAGGCCUUCGGGUUGUAAAGCACUUUUGUCCGGAAAGAAAACGCCGUGGUUAAUACCCGUGGCGGAUGACGGUACCGGAAGAAUAAGCACCGGCUAACUAC